AAACUGGGAUUAGAUACCCCACUAUGCCUAGCCAUAACACACAAUCAAACUACUAAUUGUUCGCCAAAUAACUACGAGUAAUACUUAAAAUUUAAAAGACUUGACGGUACUUCACCCCGACCUAGAGGAGCCUGUCCAAUAACCGACAACCCACGAUUAACCCAACCAAUUCUCGCCCAACAGUCUAUAUACCGCCGUCGCCAGCUUACCUUGUAAAAGAAAUAAAGUGAGCUAAAUAGUAACACACUAAAACGACAGGUCGAGGUGUAACUCAUGAAAGGGAAUAAGAUGGGCUACAUUCUACAACCAAGAAUACGGAUAACACUGUGAAAUCAGUGUUUAAAGGCGGAUUUAGCAGUAAGACAAGGACAGAAUACUUGACUGAACAUAACGCAAUGAAGUGCGCACACACCGCCCGUCACCC
rnacentral:rRNA from 1 species